UAUUUAAAUGUCGCCAAGCGUGGUUUAAAAAGUCUCCCAAUUCUGAGGGGGGCAAGGUUUGAAAAACUAUUGGAUCCUAUGUUCAGCACCGAAGUGACAGGAUGAUUCGUACCCUGAACCUCAGCAUCAUGCAGUAUACCCAGAUCACAUCUGCACAGCCCCCGAAUCUAAAAGAAAAGUUGAAACUAUAUAAAAAAAAAAAAAGUCUCCCAAAUUUGUUACAAAAAUGCCAACGAAGGUUAAUCUCGGGUAAUCUAAUUCCGUUUCCUGGUGUUUUCUUUUUUCUUUUUUUCUUCCAGUCGGCUCCACCUACAGAGAGGCCCAACAGGGGGCUCGCGCGCUCGUUUGGGCUCGGCGGCCGGAGAAGACGGGCGCACUGGGCCGGAGCCGCCCCGCCAGGGUUGGGUCGUGGCUGCCGGGGCUCGUCGCCAGAAGGCCUCCUGGGCCGCCCUUCCGCUCUCCCGGGGCUGGGCGGCGCUGUCUGGCUCUUCCUGCCGCGCUCCGGCCACUCCCCCUCCGCCCCUCGCUUGGCCCAGCCGUGGCGGCCGUGCUCUGCACGCAGUGCCUCCCUCGGGCGUGGGUCUGCAGGAGACCCGGACAGGGCAGCGGCCGGCACUACCGCGCCGCGAUUUGCGCAGAGUUGAAGACCCUGACCAUUGAAGAGGUGGCCCCCCGCCCCGUCGGGCUCACGAGGUAAUAUAGCUGCUGCCGGAAGUGACGAGAAGUGCAAGGUGGCGGUGCAGAGGGGUGCGCAGUCCAGCGUGAACUACAGUUAGAGCAGGCUGAAGGAGGCAGCGAGGAAGCUGGUGGACUAGGGCGGGGUGAAUGUGGCCAUCGACAUGGUGGGAGGAGACAUCUGCCUGAAGGCUGUCCUCAG
rnacentral:lncRNA from 10 species